rnacentral:rRNA from 1 species
CGCCUGAUUUACCCUAUCAGGUAGACUCUGCCCAAUGAGCUUUUAAUGGCCGCAGUAUCUUAACUGUGCUAAGGUAGCAUAAUAAUUUGUCUCUUAAUUGGAGGCUUGUAUGAAUGAGCUGACGAAAAGAUCCCUGUCUCAAGGAAAGCAAGGGAAAUUUAUAUUCAGGUAAAAAAUCCUGAGAGUUGUAGGGGGACGAUAAGACCCUAAAAGCUUUACCCUUAACUCCUGAACCUUUUCUAGCUUAAACAGGCUUGCCGGGUUUUCGCUGGGGCGGCGUCUCUAUUCAACUAGAGAACUAAAAACACUUUGAGUGAAAUUAACCACCCUUACUUAGGUUACAAGCAAAGUUACUUUAGGGAUAACAGCGUAAUUUUCUGAAAGAGCCCCUAUCGACCAGAGAGUUUACGACCUCGAUGUUGAAUUGAAGACUUGGCUAAAGCAGCAUUAGCAAAAAGAAGACUGUUCGUCUUUUAAACCUUC